UAGGGAAUAUUAGAAAUGGACGAAAGUCUGAUCUAGCAACACCGCGUGUGCGAAGAAGGCCUUCGGGUCGUAAAGCACUUUUUGGAAGGAAUAGGAAGGAAUGUACUUCCAGAAUAAGUCUCGGCUAACUACGUGCCAGCAGCCGCGGUAACACGUCGGAGGCGAACGUUCUCCGGAUUUACUGGGCGUAAAGAGCGUGUAGGUGGUUCUUUAAGUAGGGCGUGAAAGCUCCUGGCUCAACUGGGGGAGGCCGUUCUAAACUACAGAACUAGAGGGUGGUAGAGGGAGGUGGAAUUCCAGGUGUAGCGGUGGAAUGCGCAGAUAUCUGGAGGAACACCAGUGGCGAAGGCGGCCUCCUGGACCAUUCCUGACACUCAGACGCGAAAGCUAGGGUAGCAAACG
rnacentral:rRNA from 1 species